rnacentral:rRNA from 1 species
UGAGCAAUCUGCCCUUCACAUCGGAAUAACCAUUGGAAACGAUGGCUAAUACCGAAUAUGACUUCGGAUCGCAUGAUCUGAAGUGGAAAGCUCCGGCGGUGAAGGAUGAGCUCGCGGCCUAUCAGCUUGUUGGUGAGGUAAUAGCUCACCAAGGCGAUGACGGGUAGCCGGCCUGAGAGGGUGACCGGCCACACGUGGGACUGAGACACCGGCAGUA